rnacentral:rRNA from 1 species
UACCCUCGGGUGGGGGAUAACCUCGGGAAACUGAGGCUAAUACCCCAUAGGCCUCGGAUACUGGAAGGUUCCGAGACCGAAAGCUCCGGCGCCCGAGGAUGGGUCUGCGGCCUAUCAGGUAGUUGGUGGUGUAAAGGACCACCAAGCCUACGACGGGUACGGGCCCUGAGAGGGGGAGCCCGGAGAUGGACUCUGAGACACGAGUCCAGGCCCUACGGGGCGCAGCAGGCGCGAAACCUUCGCAAUGCGCGAAAGCGCGACGAGGGGAGCCCGAGUGCCCUUCCUUUCGGGAGGGCUUUUCUGGAGCCUAAAAAGCUCCAGGAAUAAGGGCUGGGCAAGACGGGUGCCAGCCGCCGCGGUAAUACCCGCAGCUCGAGUGGUGGCCACUAUUAUUGAGCCUAAAGCGUCCGUAGCCGGACCCGUAAAUCCCUGGGUAAAUCCUGGCGCUCAACGUCAGGAAUUCCGGGGAGACUGCGGGUCUUGGGACCGGGAGAGGCCGGAGGUACUCCCGGGGUAGGGGUAAAAUCCUGUAA